AAAAAAAAAAUCCUUAUCCUUUUUCGUGAAUCAACCUGCACAACCCUGUUCCCGCUGCUAUUCACGCAUGUGCUCACUAUUUUGAUCUGUCACGCCGUCCAGUGGGUGUCGUGUGCCACCGCCUUGAGCCGUCGUCGUCAACUUCUUUCCGCCGUCACUCUGUCUUGGUCUCGUCGGAAUCUUGGACUUGGUUUAGGAGGAGAUUUGAAACCAAAAGCGGCCUGUCCAGCGGCUUCGAGGUUGUUUCCAGCAAGGAUUUUGGUUUAGAGCCAAUAUCUGUGGGAGUAAGGAUUGUUUUUGGGCGAAUUAGCUUUUGGGUCACAUUGGUGUUGAAGCUUUGAAUCUAGCCACACUUUGGGACCCUAAGAAGGCUUAUACUUGGGCUUUAUUAGGAAAACUUGUAUGAUCAUCACAUCCACACAUCCCUACAUCGAAUGAUAAAUCAACGCAUCAAGCAGACACCAGCAAUAGCAAGGUCGUGUUUAUUCAACCACUCGAUAGAAGGCCGAGAAGUCAGGCACUAUGGUGAUAGUUUCUUUACCUCUUCCUCUUCCAAGGGUUGAAGAACACUCAUCCAACUCUUGGAAUCCUAGAGAAUAAGAGGAAUUUUGAAAAGCUUGGGAGUCUACGAAGCCUGUAAGUCCGUGUCGAUCAAGGAGUAAGAGUUAUUGAAGAGAUCAGUGGAAAAAUGGAAGUUUUCGAUCUAAGUUCAAAGCAAAAUGAAGCAAAAUGGAACAUCCAUAGCGUUGCAACGUUCCGAACUUCACAGGCGCACGCCGAGGAGUUCGACGAUUGUCGGUUCGAACCUCCCCUCCAGUGUUUGCAAUAGUUUUUCUUGAUUUUAUUAAUUUUAUUUCUUUAUAUUAAUUAAAUUAAUGUAAAUUAGUUAUAUUAACUUCAUUAAAUAUUUACGGUGCCAAAAUUUGGCCCAAUAUUUACUGUUUAUUUUAAUUUUUUAUGCAUUGGAUGUAUAUUUAAAUUAAUGUUUGAA